AUUGAACGCUGGCGGAAUGCUUUACACAUGCAAGUCGAGCGGCAGCGCGGGGGCAACCCUGGCGGCGAGCGGCGAACGGGUGAGUAAUACAUCGGAACGUGUCCUUAAGUGGGGGAUAGCUCGGCGAAAGCCGGAUUAAUACCGCAUAAGCUCUGAGGAGGAAAGCGGGGGAUUCGCAAGGACCUCGCGCUGUUGGAGCGGCCGAUGUCGGAUUAGCUAGUUGGUGGGGUAAAGGCCCACCAAGGCGACGAUCCGUAGCUGGUCUGAGAGGAUGAUCAGCCACACUGGAACUGAGACACGGUCCAGACUCCUACGGGAGGCAGCAGUGGGGAAUUUUGGACAAUGGGGCAACCCUGAUCCAGCCAUUCCGCGUGAGUGAAGAAGGCCUUCGG
rnacentral:rRNA from 1 species